CAGUCUAGCCCAAGAGACAAAGCUUAGGGCUCUGCCUCGGAGUUCUCACUGCGUUUAGCUGUACCCUACCUCUCUUGUACUGAGGGUCCCUUGGAAAACUCAGGUCUCUGCUUUUCCUCAUCCUCCUGAGGGCCUCAGGCUGGUCCCAUUCCAUUUUAAGAUCCCUUGCUACCCUUUCCGACAGGCAGGACCUAUUUCUGGCAAAAAAUAGGGACAGCAGAUCCUGCCCACCCCUCUCCGAACCACAACAGAAACCGCUACUCUAGCAGGUCCGGAAGGCUCCCUUGACCCCGAAUGGCAGCUUGUAGCCCCAGAUAUUCAUCCGAGGCCUGUUUGCCUACCUUCUCCCACUCAGUGCCCUCCCUCUGGAUCAGGCGCCACCCUCCAGUACCCAGUCCUCAAGGACAGCUUGGAGGACAUUCCCUGAUUGUGUCCUGGCUAUUCCGAGAGGGGCUGGACCCCUGCUGUCCAGGCUGGAUGGGGUAGGAGGGGUGCAGCAAUACGACAUAAUCAGCUUGGCUUGGAAAUCACCACAGUGCCACAGACUGCCUUUCAGGAGUCUGCAGGGCUACACUCUUCCUCGCUCACCCCCAUCCCUUGCAGUUUCAGAGUCUCUGAGGCCGUUUUGAGGUUUUACUGGCCCCUUCAAAACCACCAUCUGCCCAAAACCCACCCAGCCCACCAUCUCUUUGGAGAUACUAUUUUGCACUUUGCAAUGCUACUAAAUCCAAAGCUAGAUCCUGGAUUGUGCGCUUAUUUCUAAAGGCCUUCCUUCUUUUUCUUUGUCCCGUACGGAGACUUGCUCCCACCCCACCCCCAAGUAUCCUCUGAAUCUUUUCAUUUUGUUUUAUAGAUAACAACCCCUAUCCAAAUAGCUUUCUCUGGUAGAGCCAGAUGCAGGCAUAGCCUGAAUCCUCACUCCCGGCCCCGAGAGAUGACCGACCGGUAGGAGACAGCCCCUCACCCACUCCUCCGCAGCCCUCUGGGAAGGGGGUGGCCCUUAGGAAAGAACUUUGCUGCUUUCUCCUGAGCCUGAAUAUGGAGCAAGUAUCACUUCAUACCUCAUACCAGACAUCUCAGCUUCCAACCCUUGCCCCAGAAGGAAUUUUUUUUUGAAGAAGUGGAACUAUCCCCAUCCUCCCCUGUCAGAGCCCCCAUACCCAGUCCUUUUCCUCCUACCCCACUCCCAACCCAGCCCAAAGCAAUGCAAAAGGGGACUUGCCGAUGGAAGGUAGGAGGAACGCAGCUGACAGCUGUGUCCAAAUCGGCACUGCUUGGAAAAGAGUAGUCUGCGGGGUAGCGAUGGGACACCGACAGUGCCCCAAGCUGGCUGUGCUGGCAGGGACAGUGCCGCAGCGAUGGCGUUCUCUCAGGCCCAGGGAGCCAAGAGCCCUUUAUAGCCUGAAACCUGCCCUGGCACCGCCCACUGGGCGGUUGCUACUAGGGCCUGCAACGAGGGGAGUUGAUAGGAGCUGUGAGGGUAUCUGUCCCGGGACCCCAGGCCAGGCCCCAACACACAAGAAUCUGGGAUUCAGCUUUCUUCUACCCUGGGCAACUCUAGGUCCUGGUGUGUGUGUGAGACUGUGUGUGUGCAUGUGUGCGCGUGUGCGUGCAUCCGUGCUUAAAUGUCCAUUCAAAGACCUCAGAUCUCUUUCCCUCAUCCUCUUUCUCUGGCAGUAACAGUUUUUGAAAGGAUGGUGAGAGCAGUGUGUUUCUGUUCAGUUUAUCAAAUUACACUCAGUGACAAAGGACUGAAGUGCAUUUUCUUGAAGGCUUGACAAUUGGGAUCCAGGAAGAAAAAAGAAAGGCAUGAUAGAGAACCCAGAGCCUUUGUGGAAGGUAAAACACUGAUGUGAAAGGCAGGGGAUAUGGCUGGGUGGAUGUAAAUGAAUUCGCCUUCAUGUUGCCUGGUGUUAAAAACUGCUUCCCCCACCCUCCACCCAAGCUGUAAAAAUCCCACGGAUCCCAGAAAUUGCCAGGUUGUUGAUUUUUAAAGGGAACAUUGUUCAUUUUGGCACAGACUGAAUCAGACAAGGAGUACAGCCUCCGCCCUCCUGGACUCUUGGGGUCCCCAGCGUGCCCUUCCAAGUCCCCCAAGCCAGAAAGCCUCCUCACUGCAGUCUGUCCAGCAAGCUUUUCCUUAGAGGCACAGAUAGGACAGGAAUGCAGUGGACUUCUCCCUGCCAAUCAAAGUCCUGUCCUGUGCCUGAACCUGGAGGAUUGCUAGAUGGAAGACAGACUAGCAGGGCAGGUUUGGACCUGAAAGAAAGUCCAUGGGGGCAUUGGGCUGCGUGUCUCAAAGGCUUCCAUUCUUUGGGGACAGAGGUGAGGGCAGUAUUUUUAAUCACCGGCCUCAUGCAAAAGAACAAGUCUAGGAGAAAAAAUAUCUUCUCAUCCAGGGCUUGGAGAUAAUAGCCAGAAACAAAUCCACCCUGCUUGCCUACUUCCCACUGACUUUUGUACAGAAGCCCCUAGCAGGCAAGCCAGCUGACUGAUUAGCAGCCUCGCCUAGAGCUAACGUGAAAAUCUAGUUGGUAGGGCUCCAUACCCCAAGUUCAGAGUGCUGCUAGGUCAAUUCCUCUUGCUUUUUUCCUUAACUCCUGCGAAAUCCCUCAGAAGGAGAUGCGAGGCAGAGGCCAGAGCCCAUGUGGUUGCCAUGUAAGGGUCUUCCACCUUUACUAUGACACCACAACCCGGCUCCAAGCUCACCCGAGUUCCCAAUGCUCCAGCUUCAGCUAGUUUUCUCACCAGAUGCUGGUGUGGUGAUCAAAGGGGAACAAUUUCCAGAAUGACACUCCCUCCUUACCCCUCCUGGGUCCUGUCUGGACUAUUCUGAUGACCAAAGUUGUUCUGGCAUACACCUGUGACCCCUCCAAGCUUUCCUCGGGUCCCCUCUCUGCAGGUCCCAAGAGGUUCUUGGGAGAACUCCAGGCCCUCUACACAUUCUCUCCACCAGCAGCCCUACAACUCUAUGCUUCCUCUUCAACCCAGCUUCAAUAUAUGUUCCCUACUUUCCUGAUCCCUGCAAGAAGAUUGUCACUCUGAAAUCCCUUUUAGCUGGAAAAUCUGGAGCACCUCAGAUGUUUUCCUUAAAUCCUCCCUCCACUGGUUCCUCUCCUUCCUCACUGUGCAGCUGCUCCAAAUCUAUUCAUUCUUGAUACUUGCAAACAGGCAGCAUGGCUUAGUAGAUAAGAACAAGGCUCUGGAGUCAUUUAGAUCUAGACUCCAAGUCUGCUCCAAUACUCACUGGUUUGAGCAAUAUAUACUCACUUGCCUGGGCAGCAGUGCUUCUCAGGUUAGAGAAUGGAGGAGAAGAGAAGAAGAACUGAGGCAGGGAGGCCUAAUGAGAGACUAUGGUGACAAUUCAGGUAACAAUAAUGACAAUGGUAACAAUAAUAAUAGUGAUGACAAUAAUACCCUACAGUAGUUUAGCUCUUGCCUCUGUGCCAGGGACUUUAUAAAGCACUGCAUGUGUAUGUUGUUAUAUAACCCUCACAGCCAACCUAAGAGGUAGGCACUAUUAUCCAAUACUCACUGGUUUGAGCAAUAUAUACUCACUUUUUUGUUCACUUUACAGAGAGAAAGCAUCUGAGGUAUCAAGUGAUUCAACACCUUGCCCAAGUUAUUUUAAGUGCAUGUUGAGGGUAAAUGCAAUCUCCUCCAGAAUUCAAACCGGGGGAACCUAGCUUCCAAUCUGAGCCUGUAAUGUAGCAUACAAAAGACUAAACUAAGCCUGAGCAGUAAGAUGGAGCAAAGUGCACAGAUUUCAGAAGUAGCUGGGUUGUAACCCAAAGGUGGAAGUACGUGGCAACUGAGGUUGGGGGAUGGGGUUCCAGCUGGGGACUGGAUAUAUGGUGAUGACAUCGCCUAGAUCAGAAAACUCAGGAGAAGAUGAGCUUGAGGGCCACGAUGAUGAGUUUUGGGCCUUGGUAGGUUUUUGGUGGCUCAUUCCCAUGCAGCCGUCUGCUGGUUAUUGUCUUUGUAAAGGUCUGAAGUAUGGAAAACAGAUCUGGCCUAGAGAGAGAUUUAGACAACAUCUGCAUUCCGAUGUUAAUGGAGACACUGGUGUGGAGGGCCUGAACAGAAAAAAGCAGGCCUAGGAUACAGCCCCAAGGAAUAUUCGUAUUAAGGUAGAGUGGAGGAGAGAGUCUGGAAAGGACCUCUUUCCUUGCCACAGACACAUGUCCCAGCUGACCUUGAGACUGUCCCUUGUGUUUGUUUCCUCUCAACACUUAGAGUCUCUGAGUUUUCGAGGAGCUCAAAGAGGUUAGCAGUCUCGGCCUUUUUCCCACCUGGGGACCUCUACACACACGCGCGCGCGCCCACACACACACACACAUACACACACACACACACACACACACACACACACACACAGUGUGCGGACACAGAGCUUCCUGACCUCUGGACUCCCAUUAAUAAGACUCUUUAGCUGCCUUUUAGGGGUUAGUGCUGGCAUCCCAUGUUUGUAGAUAAAGCCACCCAUUUCACUAAGGCUUUUCUCUCCAUUAUUCUGUGGCACAAGCACCUGCUCUGUAGGUAUGGGUUUCAUCUGCCCCCAUUCUGAGGCUGUGUGUGGCUGUGUCUCUUCCAUGGGUGGCAGUCCUGCAUUGCAUGGGGCUUUCCAGCAGGCUGGUGCCUGGAGAACGUAGCCUGACCCAAAGCCUUCUGCUCUAUGUUCCGGCUGAGACAGCAAGGGAACCUGAACCAGCAAGGAUCCAGUGAGGUCAAAGGAAAGACCAAACCCUUAUAGAUGGAGUGGUCACACAUAAACUUCAUGUGGGAAUGGGGAAUGGAGAAAACAUGGGAAGAAAUCCAGGCAAUGAGUGGAGAGAGAUAGAAACCCUUCCCGUCUCACCUACUUUGUAAGUGCCCCUGCGUUAGAGGAGAGGAAGCAGGGUGAGGGGAGUCUUGCCUUAGAGGCUGGAGGCACAGCCCUGUGGGGAGGCAGGGAGAAGAGGAGGGCAAGAGACAGCAGAGGGAGGACAGCGGCUGGCGGAGUUUCAGCAUCAUAAUCUGAAGUCACCAAAGCUCCAGCUCAGACUCCUGGGGCUGAAGAUGCCAUCUGAGAAGAGACAACAGACACAGUGCCCUCAGGGCAAGUGACAACUGUGGGGAUGAUACCGGCUGAAACCAUCAGAUGAACAGGGUACCAUCACAAUGCUUCUACCGGGAGCCAGUUCAGGGGCUGAGCUUCAUGGUCCCAGGACUUGCCUAGCAGGAGGGGGGCCACCCACCAGUCUCAGCACCUUCGGACCCAGAUGGGCAGUAAGUGGCUUGGUUGCAACAUCCCGCAAGAGCAUGGGUGGAGAAGGGUUGGGGGGGCCAGGCUUCUCUAAAGUCUACACCAAUCCACAGAAGAGUCAGCAUGGCCCUCUACCUGGGCCCCACUGUCUGAAGCGACUGAGCUAGUUACCAUUCACACCUGCUGAGCCCAGAGCAAGGAGCGCCCCAGAAGAACGUCCUGAGGGAGUGAAGUGCCCAAGGGAAUAGGUGCUCCUGCCCCAAGAUUACCCUGACAGGCCACAAAGGGGUUUCACCUGACAUCAACUUUCUGACUGUAUAAAUAAAGGCACUUCGGUGGUUAAGCAGUU